rnacentral:lncRNA from 1 species
UUAAAGGAUAUGGUAUUGAUUUGAGUUGUCCUUUCUACAUACAUCCGUCAGAUUAUCCUAGUGCGAUGCUGGUUCAAGUUCUGUUUGACAGCAAUAGUUAUUGUUCAUGGAGAAGAGGUGUAUUGAGAUCGCUAUUGGUAAAGAACAAAUUAGGUUUCAUAAAUGGUGAAUGUAAAAAUCCAGAUCUAAAAUCACUAAUAUAUCACAUGUGGGAGAGGUGCGACGGUACGAUCACAUCCCAGAUUCUGAAUUCUCCAGCUAAGGAGAUAGCCGAUGGAGUUGAAUACGUUAAUAAUGCAGUCGAAUUGUAGAAAGAUUUUGAAGAUUGUUACGAUCAUACGAAUAGUGCAAACCUGUACCAAAUCCAAAAGGAAAUUAAUGAUUUGUCUCAAGGAAACAUGGACAUCACUGCUUAUUACACCAAAAUGAAGAAUUUGUUGGAAAAAUUGAGCAUUCUGAAUGUCAAGAGUCAAUGUAGCCAUCAUUGCAUAUGCGAAGACAAAGAAAACAUACAUAAGAUAGAGCAGGUUAUGAGAUUAAUCCAAUUUCUUAUGGUCUUAAACGCGUUUUACACUAUAGUCAGAGGAAGCAUCCUCAUGAUGAAUCUAUUACCUUUAAUAAUGGCUCAAGAUUUUUGCUGGUUAGUUCAGGAGGAAAAGCAAAGGGAAAUUAAGCCAAGUAAUCAAUUCGUCAUCAAUUCUGCCUCGCUGAACGUGAACACCACAAGGUCAAAUAAUUUUAGAACUAAUUAUUCACUAAACAAUAACUAUUCUGGAAAUAAUAGGUCUCUGUCCAUGUUCAAUUAUUGCCAAAAACCAGGAUAUACAAAAGAUAAAUAUUACAAAUUGCAUGGUUACCCUCAACAUUUUCAAAACACUCAUAAUACAAGUCAAAACUACAAGGACUACAGAGAAAAUGAAUGGAAAGGAAGGAGAACAGUAGAAAAUGUACAUGGGACAUCAACUGAUACAACUUCUAUGGCUUGGGAUUAAAAUGUAAGCCUUACUAAGGAGCAACAUCGAAAGCUUGUCAACCUUCUACAACACUUUCAGAUUGAAAAUGGUGGUGAGAGACCAAGCGUUGUGAUCAAUGGAGCUGUAAAUUUUGCAGGUAUGAUAGUCUAUUCAAGUAAAGUCACUUCUGUUGAUUUUAGAAAACUUUCAUGCAAAUAUUCAAAUAAAAACUGACAUAUGGAUCAUAAAUUUAGGUGCAUCAAUCCACAUGACAUUCAAUAAAUCCUCAUUAUCCAGUAUCAUAAUCUUACCAUAUCCUAUCUUAAUUACACUUCCUAAUGGUCAUAGGGUAAAGGUGACUGAAAUUGGGAAUAUGACAUUGAACCCUGAAAGUAUAAUGUCCUUCCUAUUCCUUUCUUCAAAUCCAUUGUAGCCCUGAUUGAAAACCAGUUCAAUACUACCAUAAAAUCCAUCAGAUUAGAUAAUCAGCUUGAAUUUACUAGCAAUGAAGCUAAUUUCUUUUUUCAGUCCAAAGGCAUUGUACAUUAGAGAAUUUAUUCCUACACACCACGACAAAAUAGUGUGGUGAAAAGAAAACACAAAUAGCUACUAGAGACAACAAGAGCCUUUCUAUUCCAGUCCAAAUUGUCGCAUAUAUAUUGGGGAAAAUCUAUUUUGAUUGCAACCUAUAUCAUAAAUAGACUACCUACCUUAAAAGACAGAUUAAAUUUGAGCCUUGUACUCUUGUACUAAAUAAAGACAGAUUAUUUGUACAUGAGGAGCUUUGGUUGCUUAUGUUAUCCAACUGCCCCUAAAGUACUUAUAGAAAAAUUUGAGCCUAGAACAACCCUUAUGUCUUUAUGGGAUAUCCCUUUAAAACAAAAAGAUACAAUGUAUUGAGUCUAACCACUACAAAGAUACAUAUUUCGAGGAAUGUAAUCUUCCAUGAGAGUGUUUUCCCUUUUGCAAUUUCAUAUGAUUCCAAUAUUGAAAUCUUGUACUAAAUAAAGACAGAUUAUUUGUACACGAGGAGCUUUGGUUGCUUAUGUUAUCCAACUGCUCCUAAAGUACUUAUAGAUAAAUUUGAGCCUAGAACAACCCUUCAUGUCUUUGUGGGAUAUCCCUUUAAAACAAAAAGAUACAAGGUAUUGAGUCUAACCAAUAGAAAGGUACAUAUUUCCAGGAAUGUAAUCUUCCAUGAGAGUGUUUUUCCUUUUGCAAUUUCAUAUGAUUCCAAUUUUGAUUCAUUUCCUAUUGUACCUAGUUCACUUCCACAUCCUGCAUGUUUUAAUGAUACUGAAGAUCAUUUUUCAGACCAUGUUCUAGAGGUUUAAGGGGUUUCAAGAGACAUCUAAUGAAAUGUCAUCUGCCACACAUAAUGGAAUGCCACCUAAUUCUUUCCCUAUUUCACCUAUUGUUACACCUGUGUCACCCUAUUGUAUCCAAUACGCCUUAAUCACCUGUCAUUGCUGACCAUUCAAUAACACAACAUCCUCAUAGCCCACAAUCUACUCAACAAUUAAGGUCACAUAGGGAACCUAAAACUCCCUCUUACCCGAAAGACUACAUUAUCUCAAUUUCCAAUUAACAAAAAAAUUUAAAUACAACCAAUCAGACCUCUAUUUCUGCUUUAUUUUCUCACAAUAACCACAUUGCACCCAAUGUACUAACUCAUGCUAGUCAGGCUAUUGUUGAAAUAUUUAUCAUGACAGUUAACCAACCUCAUAUGGUGAGGCUGCUAUUAAUCCUGCCUGGCAAUCAACAAUGAAUCGAGAAUUUAAAGCUUUAUAUGCUAAUCACACUUGGGACUUAGUUCCCUACCUAUCGGAAAGAAGGCAAUUGAUUGCAAACAGGUAUAAAAAGUCAAAUAUAAAGUAGAUAGGAGCAACACUGAGAGGUUCAAGGCCAGACUAGUUGUGAAGGGUUUCACUCAAGGAAUGGGUAUUGAUUACCCUGAAAUUUUCUCCCUAGCAGUGAAAAUGACAACCAUUAGAGCAUUGUUAGCUGAUACAGUAAAAAGAGGCUGGAAGAUCUAUCAAUUCGAUGUGAAUAUUGCAUUUAUACAUGUAGAUUUUCAUGAAGAAGUCUAUAUGAAGGUGCCACCUAGUCUGACAGUAGAGAAACCGGGACUUGUUUGUGAACUAAACAAGUCAUUUAUGGCUUGAAGUAUGCUAGCAUACAAUGGUAUGCUAAGUUGACUGAAGCCUUGUGCUCUAGGGGUUACAAACAUUCCUUUCAUGAUUAUUCACUAUUCCACAAGAAAGAAGGAGAUUUAGUGGUAUUCUUGGCAGUAUAUGUGGAUAAUGUGCUCUUAACAUGAACCAAUCCCCAUGAGAUUGAGCAGUUGAAGAGUUUCUACAUGAAGAAUCAUAGUUAAAGAUUUGGGUUGUUUGCAUUACUUCCUGGGAUUUAUUGAGAAAAUUUGCCCUUGAUUUGUUAAAAGAAUCUGAUUGCUUGGGGUGUACCAGCAUGUCAUCUCCUCUUGAUCCCAUUGUCAAACUCAAAGCCAAAGAGGGAGCAUUGUUAGAGGAUCCUACCUACUACAAAAAAUUGGUUGGGAAGUUGAACUUCCUAACUAACUGUCAUGACACAAAAUCCCACACGUUGUGAUGAUGCCUAUUGCAAUACUAGGAAAGCCGACAAUCAUAAAUAACCACACAUAUUUAAAUUGAAAACGUAAUAAAAUAAGUUUAAUAGUGAAAACCUCAUAAAUAAUUUAUAAGAAAAUACCGCGACUCAAUAAUAAAAUUCCCAAGAAUUUGGGUGUCACUGGGUAUAUGAGCAUCUAAAUAACAAUAUAGUCACAUAGUUUGACUGCUAAAAUACUGUCUAGAAAGAUAAAACAAUACUAAUAAACUAAAAAGGAGAAUUAAGGUUUAUGGAUACCAAGCAGCUAUCUCAAUAGUCUACGAACACACAAAGCUCCAAAGCUAGCGACUGUCGUGCCCACAGGUACCUGAAUAUGCACACGAAGUGUAAAGUGUAGUAUGAGUACAAUUGACCCAAUAUAGUCAAUAAGUAACAAGAUUAACCUUAGGCUAAAAGCAGCGACGAGCUCAGAAAGGUACCAUCCAAAUUCAGAUUACAACAAUACAUAUAUGACAAGAAAUAUGACAAUAAAACCCCAGAGAAACUCAUAAUCAGAUGGUACACAGUACGAGAAUGUAGAUAUACUUUCAAGUUUAAUAGUUUAAGGUCAACAUAGAUGAAAUAUGCCAAGUAUGAUUGAUUAAGAAAUGUCACAUCUUUAUAUCUACAUGUCAAAGGUAAUGCAUCACAAUGAUAACCUCACGUACUCCCUCUCUCAGAGUAAUCAAUUUGACUGUCUCAAUUCUCACUCAUCACACUCGGUCACUCAGCACUAUACGGUACCUGCACUCGCUGAUGGUAUGUCAGACUCCGGAGGGGCGAAUCCUGCCUAAGUGUCAUACCCCUUUUUUCAACAAACCUACCUAACUAAAACCUUUUAAAUUAAUUAAAGAGAUUUAGUAAAAAGCUCGAAAAGGGGUUUCCAUUAGAAAAUUGACAAAAAAUGUAUUCAAAAGAAUUAACUCAGAGUCACCACCGGACAUUAAUUUCGGUGUGUCAGGUCACCAUUUUUUUUCUAAAAAUAUUUAUUUUUCCUUUCAAAACACUUGAGACUUCAAAACUAAAUAUUCACCAGAGAUUCGGUUAAGGGGUUCAUUUGACUCGGGAAGAAGGUGUUAGGCAUUCCCCGAGUCCCGUAACUACUACGGUUGCGUACUCGAUCUAGUUGGCUUUAAAAAUACUCAAUUGAGGCAAAAACAAACACAGAAAUAAACACACCAGAGGUUCGAGGUUGUUCUCACCGAAUAAAAGAAAAAUAAAACUAAAACAAAAAGUACUAUGAGUUCCACUUUUAGGCCUUCAUUGAUGAUGCCACGGCCUCCAUUUACAUUUACUUCGGGGCAUUCCCCGAGUUAAAAUAUUUACAAGUCCUUCGGUCAUUCCCUGGAUAAAUUUAACUAAGGGAAGACCUCUUGCCUCGGAAGAAGCUAAAACAAGAACAUCCUAAAGUUUGCCUACCCAAAUGUGGUCGUCCUAAACAUGCUCCUAACGAAUAAUAAUAAAGCGAGAAUAAGUAAAUAACAGAGAAACUAAAAGCAAUUCAACUCGGAGGCAUGUUGUUUUAACUUAUCAUUUUCAUGUAUUUAGACCAAGCCCAAUCCUAAAGCAUACAUAUAGUUUAAUCACUAAUGGGCUUUGGACUUUCUCCCCCUCACGGCCCAAUAUCAUACAAAAUGCCAAACAAGCAACGGAGAAUAAAUUCAAUCACAUAGGAAAAGAGCAUACGGACUGACAAUGAAAUAAAAGCAUGGUGGAUCAAAAUAUGAUGAGGUCCUUAUCAAUUAUAUGACUUUCAGAAAUCCAUGCUUUUUACUUUCAAAAGACUUCAAAGAGAUUACCUUCAUAUUUAAUCUAUAAAGGAAUCUGUGUCUCUUAACAUGAACAAAAUCUAACAAUCAAUCACUAAGUUUAAAUCAGGGAUCAAUUUCUUUUCAAGCAUAUCACUGUUAUCUUGAAAAUUAGAAAGAUGCAUAGCAUAUAUUAAUCUAUUGACGCCUCAAGGAAUAUAAAUUCAGUUUGCAUUUCACUAGGCUUCAGCUUAUUCCAGAAGGCCAAUUGAUUCACGUAUUCGAUAUGUAAACAAGCUGAAGGACAAGCAUUUUUAAUUCGCGAAUGGAUCUACAGACGGAAUUGUAGUUUUAGCCCAAGAUGAGAAAAUCCAACAAGAAGAGAUUGACAAAAGUUUCAACGGAAUUGAAGCAAACGAAACACAACAAAGUCACUCCAAUUUCUAGAUUAACAUGGCGAUGUUUUAGCUCAUAGUAUUUAUAUCAUUUAGAAUUUGGUUAGAGCAUACCAGGUACUGAUGUUAUCAUGCUUAUCGCUCGAUAAUGAAACCUAAUGCAAGCAGUCAGUUCAACAAACCAGCAAGACGAACAGAUUGGAACAACAUGUUGAACACAAUGAGCCAAACACUUGUGGAUAGUUUCCAAUUAAGCUUUAGUCUAGCUAAUCUAACUCUGACUAAUCCCAAACAUAUCCAGAAUAGUGACGACAAGAUGGAAAAUAACAUCACGCCAUUUCUAAAAUUCCCCGCGAGCACAAAUCCUAACCAAGAACUAACUACGGAUCUAAAAUAGAUAUAUAGAGGAGAAAGAGAUUGAACCUGAAAAUGUAGCUUUUGAUUAAACUCGUUUGGGAAUAUGACUACAAGUGAUCCAAAUGCUCCAAUGGAAAGCAACAAAGCAGAAAAUCGGAUCAAGAAACACGAACAUGAACACCUCGAUAUGACACGAGCUCACACGACUCCAACCUUUGAACCAAAAUUCAGGAUUCGAACUAGCUUCAUUGUCCGAAUUUGAAGAUUAACUCACACCAACGAGAAUCCAGAAGAAGAGCGGAAUACUUUUUUUUUUACGUUUUUCUGAUUCUUUAAAUCAAACAAAGAGAAAACAGAACUGAACAUGUUUUUUGAUAUUUUGGAAUCUCAAACUAAAAGGAACGUCCAAACUCAAGAUGAACCCUUCAGAAGAACAUAAAUAUUUUUCUAAAACCCUAACUUUUCUCUCACAGUUUUCCCCUCGAUCUCUCUCCGAAAUUCUCAAUAUAUAUAGCCAUCUCGAAUCCUCUUCUCCUCUUCUCCAAGAAAGCCCCCCAAAAACCCGAAUUUGCCCUUCAAUUAAUUCCCAAAAUCCCUUCUCACAAACAAAAAUCAGAAAAAUGGAGACCUGGAACAAAAUCUUCAUCCUAUGGUUCCCAUUUCUCCGAGAUUUAUUCAAGGGGCUCGGAUUGCUUCCAAAUCGAACGAAAAAUAAAGAAAAACACGUUCUUCAUGAUUACGGACACGUGGAAGAAGGAGAGAAGAGAGGGGGGGGACCAUGGGGGACCAGUGGUUAGCGAGUUUUUCCGGCGAGUUUGAGGUGAGGGACGCGGCAUGGCCGAAGGAGUGGCGGCUGCUGGUUUGAGGG